GUAUGCGAUCAUACAAGCUUAACACAUCAGAUCCUAUCAGAACUUCAAAGCUAAGCGUGCUUGGGAGAGAGUAGUAAUAAGAUGGGUUAUCCCUUGGGAAGUGCACGCAUUGUAUUCC
rnacentral:rRNA from 1 species